rnacentral:lncRNA from 1 species
UCAUUGAUUAUUUCAUAGAGCAUUUUGAAUCUCCUCCCUCCUUCUUAAAAUAAAUGCCGUUUUAGUAAAUACAAUUUGUUUUAAAAUGAAUAUCAUUCUCAUUUUUAAAAUAUAAAAAUCAUUGUUAUUUUUCUACUUAUGUCAUUUAAUUAUUAGUGUGUACACAAUUAUUAGUGUGUACACAUCUUCAACAGUAAUAAGCUUAACUAAUAAUAUGGUAGGUUCUUUUGACAACUUAUUACAUUCCUCCGAACAAAAACUUUAACAGACAUUAAUUUUAAAAUGGAGGAGUAUAUUUUAAGUUGCUUUGUUCCUAAGGAUACACCAAUGUUUUAAAAUGAAUAUCAUUCUCAUUUUUAAAUAUAAAAAUCAUUGUUAUUUUCUACUUAUGCAUUUUAAUUAUAGUGUGUACACAAUUAUUAGUGUGUACACAUCUUCAACAUGUUAAUAAGCUUAACUAAUAAUAGUGUAGGUUCUUU